GACGAACGCUGGCGGCGUGCUUAACACAUGCAAGUCGAACGGAAAGGCCCCUUUGGGGGUACUCGAGUGGCGAACGGGUGAGUAACACGUGAGUAACCUGCCCUUGACUUCGGGAUAACUUCAGGAAACUGGGGCUAAUACCGGAUAGGAAUCCUUGCUGCAUGGUGGGGGUUGGAAAGCUUCGGCGGUUUUGGAUGGACUCGCGGCUUAUCAGCUUGUUGGUGGGGUAGUGGCUUACCAAGGCUUUGACGGGUAGCCGGCCUGAGAGGGCGACCGGCCACAUUGGGCCGGAGUACCGGCCCGAACCCCUCCGGGAGGAGGCGGUGGGGAAUUUUGCACAUUGGGCGGAACCCGAUUCAAGAACGGCGGCGUGCGGGUUGCCGGCCUUCGGUUUGUAACCCCUUUUCGGCAGGGGGGAAGCUGGUGUUGCCGGACCUUGCAGAGGAAGCACCGGCAAACUCCUU
rnacentral:rRNA from 1 species